GGCAAAUCCUGCGUAAGGAAAAGUCACGCUCUCUUUCGGCUGCAGGCGAUAUACGGAGAAGAUCACACUGGAGAACUGUAAAGUGGUUAAUGCUACUUUUCGUGUUUAAGUAAUACUUAAUGGUUGUCAGACCGAUAACCUAUCCGUUACUUUGCAUGCGGAAGAAGUCGGUAUCACAUAGAGACAUUUUCAAAACGAAUUAGUCAGAAUAGCUCAGCUAAUAGUAUAGCCUGAAAAGUUAGCAACUCGGUAGCUGGGACUAUGUUAGGCUAACUGACUUCGUCAACAAUGAGUUGCCUCUGAGGAACAAGACUGCGAGACUAACCGGAGGAAGACAGCUUGCUGUUUGAACUGAUACGCGAACUACAGCGUCGCGUGAGCAACUGCGCCACCGAGAGCGCGUGAGCAGGGCUGCAGUGACGGUGCAUGGACCCUCUCUGGGCACGGACAUCCCCAUCAACCUCGUGAGUGAAUUGGUUUGGUUUUGUUGCGCGAUUCGCAUGAAGCGGCCAAUACAGUUUUAAGGCCUCAACGUCCCCAAGCUACGAUUCAGGCCUGCAUCAGGAACAGUGGUGUGUGUGGGGUUUAUAGAAAUUCUGGUGUGCCGGCUUAGGUUGCCGUGGAUUCAGAGCCUAUGCUGGGAACACUCGGUGUGAGGCAGAGACACAUGCUGAAUGGGACACCUCGGGGCAAUUUAUAGAGGCCAGUCCAGCUACUGGCAUGUUCCUGGGAGGAUGCCCAUCCUGAGGUAAUCAUUGAAUGUGCUAGCUCCAGCUCAGAAGCAGCCUCUACAAAGAUUCCAGAUGACAUCAACGCCUGCAAAGACUUUGGAUGAUACCAACACUCUACAAUAGAUAGCAAUGGGAUAGCAGUGGGCCUGAACUGUUCUGCUCUCCGGGCCGGCCUGGACUGUCCUGGUGACCUGCUUCUGGUGUUCUCGUCGCUUGGAGGCCAGUCACUGUUGCUGAGGAUGGCCCCAUAUGGACAGCCUAUCGACACUUGGAAGCCGUGGAGAUGGCAUUGGACUGCAACUGAUGUGAGCAGUUUUGGUGUGGUGUGUUUUUGGGCCCAGGUCUCAAAAGUAAAUGUAAAACUAACUCUCUAAAAUAUGUACUGUGUAAUGACCAGAAUUUCUAAAUGUGAGUAUAAUGUGUGCUGCUAUAUUGCUUAUUUGAUUGUAAGACCUACAAUCUGAAAAGUUUUGUCAUUUCAAGCCUGUCAUGUCAGACCAAAUCAGCAACUCCAUUCCCCAGAAUGCACCACCAACUACAAACAUGGUAGAAGAGGACUACACUUCCCAUACACAUACAUGUUCACCUUCUCCGAAGUUCUAAUCAGAGACGCCUGUUCCCAUUUAUACUCACAAUCACACUACACAUAAAAGAGACUGUUUGAACACUCUUUUUUUAAUUUAUUUAUUUAUUUAUUUAUUUAUUUAUUUAUUUAUUUAUUUUACUUUUACGUUUAUGAAUUAGACUCUUCGCCCUGCCCUGUUUAUGCUGUUUGCCUGAUUGCCUGACCUCUACCUGUUCAUGAUUAUUGUCUUCUGCCUUAUCCUUUGGACUUGUUGUUAUUGUUGUUGUUGUUGUUGUUGUUGUUGUAUUAAACUGCCAUACCUGUA